rnacentral:rRNA from 1 species
AGCAGCCGCGGUAAUUCCAGCUCCAAUAGCGUAUAUUAAAGUUGUUGCAGUUAAAAAGCUCGUAGUUGAAUUUCGGGGUUAGUAGGUUGGUCAUGCCUCUGGUAUGUACCGGUCUCACUGAUUCCUCCUUCCUGAUAAACCUUAAUGCCAUUAAUUUGGUGUUUUGGGGAAUUUGGACUGUUACUUUGAAAAAAUUAGAGUGUUUAAAGCAAGCUAACGCUUGAAUACAUUAGCAUGGAAUAAUGAAAUAGGACGUUCGAUCCUAUUUUGUUGGUUUCUAGGAUUGACGUAAUGAUUAAUAGGGAUAGUUGGGGGCAUUAGUAUUCAAUUGUCAGAGGUGAAAUUCUUGGAUUUAUUGAAGACUAACUACUGCGAAAGCAUUUGCCAAGGAUGUUUUCAUUAAUCAAGAACGAAAGUUAGGGGAUCGAAGACGAUCAGAUACCGUCGUAGUCUUAACCAUAAACUAUGCCGACUAGGGAUCGGAUGAUGUUAAUUUUUUAAUGACUCAUUCGGCGCCUUACG